CACUAACCCAGACGGAGCUCGGACCACUCCUGGCUGGCCAACACCUACUGGACCUUCUCGACCAAUGAUGUCGCUUUCCCUGAUGCAUCUGGCCUGAAGGUUAAAGAUGUUGGCCAGAGACGCACAGUCAGUAGAGUUGAUAAACUGAACGACUUCAUCUACAGUCCACUCCAGGGGGUUCCUGUCCAAAACCAGCUGACCCUCCUCCUCCUCCACCUGGACCCCAGACACACACACACACAGUAAGGCUGACAGCGAGCGAGUCGACCUCCUGCGGCCCUCGGGGGCCUCCUGGCUGCCCAUGGCGUUUCCCAAGCUGACGGCCCUGCGCAGCGUCGCGGCCCUGCG